rnacentral:rRNA from 1 species
UACGUAGGGUCCGAGCGUUGUCCGGAAUUAUUGGGCGUAAAGGGCUCGUAGGCGGUUUGUCGCGUCGGGAGUGAAAACACCGGGCUUAACUCGGUGCUUGCUUUCGAUACGGGCAGACUGGAGGUAUGCAGGGGAGAACGGAAUUCCUGGUGUAGCGGUGAAAUGCGCAGAUAUCAGGAGGAACACCGGUGGCGAAGGCGGUUCUCUGGGCAUUACCUGACGCUGAGAAGCGAAAGCGUGGGGAGCGAACAGG